rnacentral:rRNA from 1 species
UACGAAGGGGGCUAGCGUUGUUCGGAAUUACUGGGCGUAAAGCGCACGUAGGCGGAUACUUAAGUCAGGGGUGAAAUCCCGGGGCUCAACCCCGGAACUGCCUUUGAUACUAGGUAUCUCGAGUCCGGAAGAGGUGAGUGGAAUUCCGAGUGUAGAGGUGAAAUUCGUAGAUAUUCGGAGGAACACCAGUGGCGAAGGCGGCUCACUGGUCCGGUACUGACGCUGAGGUGCGAAAGCGUGGGGAGCAAACAGG